UGGAAACCACCCAAAUGUCAAUCAUCAGGGAAGGGAGAGACAGAUUAGGGUUAGCCACACAAUGGAACACAACUCAAUGGUAAAAAGGAACAAAUUACUGAUGACAUGCAGCAGGGAUGGAUCUUAAAAUAUUUACAUGGAGCUAAAAAAGCUGUAAAAAAAAGAAAAAGAAAAGAAAAGAAAAAGAAUCAGAAAUCUUGACAAAUAUUCAUGUUCCUCUAGCAUUUUU
rnacentral:lncRNA from 1 species